GGUGGUUACUGCUUAGAUGUAGCACUUUACCGAAUCCGUCCGGCGGUGCCUCUAACCGGGUGUCGUCGGUGGUCGGUACGUUUACUUUGAAAAAAUUAGAGUGCUCAAAGCAGACAUAUCGUCUGAAUACUGUUGCAUGGAAUAAUGAAAUAGGACUUUGGUUCUAUUUUGUUGGUCUCCGGAACCAAGGUAAUGAUUAAGAGGGACAGACGGAGGCAUUAGUAUUGCGACGCUAGAGGUGAAAUUCUUGGACCGUCGCAAGACUAACAAAAGCGAAAGCAUUUGCCCAAGAAUGUUUUCAUUAAUCAAGAACGAAAGUUAGAGGUUCGAAGGCGAUCAGAUACCGCCCUAGUUCUAACCAUAAACGAUGCCAACCAGCAAUCAGCCCUGAGUUGUUUAUGACUCGGCUGGCGGCUUCCGGGAAACCAAAGUUUUUUCGGUUCCAGGGGAAGUAUGGUUGCAAAGCUGAAACUUAAAGGAAUUGACGGAAGGGCACCACCAGGAGUGGAGCCUGCGGCUUAAUUUGACUCAACACGGGAAAACUCACCCGGCCCGGACACUGGAAGGAUUGACAGAUUGAGAGCUCUUUCUUGAUUCAGUGGGUGGUGGUGCAUGGCCGUUCUUAGUUGGUGGAGUGAUUUGUCUGGUUAAUUCCGAUAACGAACGAGACUCUAGCCUACUAAAUAGUCGCGGGCGUUCUUGUACCGCCCGUCGGCUUCUUAGAGGGACAGGCGG
rnacentral:rRNA from 1 species